GACGAACGCUGGCGGCGUGCUUAACACAUGCAAGUCGAACGAUGAACCUCCUUCGGGAGGGGAUUAGUGGCGAACGGGUGAGUAACACGUGGGCAAUCUGCCCUGCACUCUGGGACAAGCCCUGGAAACGGGGUCUAAUACCGGAUACGAGCCGGGGAGGCAUCUCCUUGGUUGGAAAGCUCCGGUGGUGCAGGAUGAGCCCGCGGCCUAUCAGCUUGUUGGUGAGGUAACGGCUCACCAAGGCGACGACGGGUAGCCGGCCUGAGAGGGCGACCGGCCACACUGGGACUGAGACACGGCCCAGACUCCUACGGGAGGCAGCAGUGGGGAAUAUUGCACAAUGGGCGAAAGCCUGAUGCAGCGACGCCGCGUGAGGGAUGACGGCCUUCGGGUUGUAAACCUCUUUCAGCAGGGAAGAAGCGCAAGUGACGGUACCUGCAGAAGAAGCGCCGGCUAACUACGUGCCAGCCGCCGCCGUAACAC
rnacentral:rRNA from 1 species